AGCCAUGUAGUGAGUACAACGCGAACUAUUCUUUCGCCUUUUACUAAAGAACACCGUGUGCUCAUUACAUUAAAUGGCAUACACUUAUUUUUGGAGAGCCUUUUCACUUAUUGAAAAAA
rfam:Helianthus annuus linkage group 4, whole genome shotgun sequence.